GUCUGCAGGUACACCAAUUUACUUUUCUCUAUAUAUACCUUACUUCUUUUGCUUGUUACAUUUAUUGUGUAUGGUUCAAAAAACUGAAAUUCACUCAACAUGUUGUGUUCCAUUAUAAUCAUUAGUGACUCAAGUAUUUUCUGUUCUGUGAAACUAAGCCCUCCUCCUACACGUCAUUCCUACCCAUUAUCCUGAUAAUUACUCAAAUGUCAAUUUUUCACUGCUUAACUUUUUAUCUUUUUUUUUCAAAGUAAUCCCUUUGGAAGAGAAUUAAGGGUUAAGACACAUUUCAAACUAAGUUGGGCCUCCCACCUUGUUGUUAUUUUAUGAGAGCCCCUUGUUUGUUUGUUUGUUUGUGUUGCCUUAGGUUAACACCUUUAUCAUGUAAGACACAGUUUCCCUUACAGUUUUGAUCAUCACUAGGAUUGAGAGACUAGAGUACCCUGACAUAGUUUUCUCUUCAACAUUUUUAGAACAAUAACAACAAUUAUUAUGAGGAGACAAAGCAUGAUUAAUACAUUGAAGUAUUCAUUAUUGUUUAAAUAUCAUAUUUAGAUACUAAACAUGAAAUAAAAACAUAAAUAAA